CUCCUAUGAAUUCCAGUCAUUAGCAGUCUAAUUAAAAAUUCAAGACGUGGCCCUGUGGGAAAAAGCAAAGAGAAAGAAAAACAAAACACACAUGAAUGCAAAUAAGUCCAGUAUAAAAGAGUUCACUGUGUGUAGGGAUAUGCAGAAUAUGGAGAAUAGCACCAGUCCUUACAGAAUAUAUUUUUGAGUUCUGUUAAGAAGUCAAAAUGAAGAAUUUGUAUUUGCUUGGAAGAAAAGGAAAAGAGCAUCUCCAGAGGAGUGCAUGACACAGGCAAAAGCCCAAAGCAAAUUCUGUAGAAUCUGGCUAUGGCAACCCGCCAGAAUGAAAGUUAAUGAGCAAAAAGCAUGAAAUCUGUAUUAGUUCCCAAUAGCUGCAUAGCCGACUGAGGGCUGGAAUCAGCUGAAAUUCACUCUCUCACGUCUGACAGCAAGGCUGCUGUGUGCUGAGACCGUCGCUGGGGCUGACAGCCGCUUUAUGUGUUCUCUUCACAUAAGCCAGCUUGAGCUUCUUGAAAACAUGAUGGAUAGCUUUCCAAGAAGAUCAAACUCUCCCAAAAAGUAGAGAUUAAACAACAACUAAAGAUGGCGAAUCAUAGAAGUUACCACCAUUCCUGGUAUUGGUCCCAGUUCUUCUAAGAAUAUUUUUGAUGCAAGAGCUGUUUUAUCUUGAAUCCUACAUAGCUUAUUUUCCAUUUUUCCAUUCAAAUAAAACAACAAGAGAACAAUAGAGUGAAGAAAAAGGAUGUUUAAGCCUAAAUCCAAGACUGAGGUACAAGACCAAGAAAAGUGGGGCAGAAGAUGGAAAAGAACAAGUGAAGAAUCUUGGAAACAAUUCAAAGAAGGAGACUUGCUCUGUUGCCCAGUCUGGAGUGCAGUGGCACAAUCUCAGCACACUGCAACUUCCACCUCCUGUGUUCAAGUGAUUCUCCUGCCUCAGCCUCCUGAGUAUCUGGGAUUACAGGCCAACCCUGCUUAUUCCUGUAAACCAACCAGUGAUCUCUGGCUGCUGCUUAGAAGAAACAAGAGGGAUGGCUAAUUAAACAGGUUGAAGUAAAGGAGCCAGCCCAAACCCACCAAAACCAAAAUGGUGACGAGAGUGACAUCUGGUCGUCCUCACUGCUACACUCCCACCAGCACCACGACAGUUUACAAAUUCUAUGACAAUGUCAGGAAGUUACCCUAUGUGGUCUAAAAAGAGGAGGCAUGAAUAAUCCACCCCUUGUUUAGCAUAUCAUCAAGAAAUAACCAUAAAAAUAGGCAAUCUGCAGCCCCCAGGCUGCUCUGUCUAUGGAGUAGCUGUUCUUUUUUUCUUUUACUUUCUUAAUAAACUUCCUUUCACUUUGCACUGCAGACUCGCCCUGAAUUCUUUCUUGCAUGAGAUCCAAGAACCCUCUCUUGGGGUCUGAAUUCAGACCCUUGUCAUGUAACAACCAGAGCACCCCCGGGUUUAUAUUUAGUGAUCCUUUCAUUCCCUCAUACAAAUGCUCAUUAUGUAACAAGUCAGAAACAGCUUUUCUAGUCUUUUAUAUGUGGUAUAAUCAUUAUGACUUAAAUACACAAUGUGGGUGUCAUAAGGCAGAAUUUUGUAGGUGUUUUAACAGAUACAUAAAAGGGAGAAGUAAAUUUGGACUAGGAAAAUCCAGAUAAGCUCCAUGAAGAAGACUGCUGGAGAGUUAAGCUUUGAAGGAUGAGUGAGGGUGUAAGAAGCAGACAUAGGAGACAGGACAUUCCAGGUAUUGGAGGGUCCCAAUGCCAUGUGAAGUAUGGGAAAGGGACUAUUAAAUGUGUUGGAUACUUCAAAAUAAUGUUACAUCUUCAUAGCUAUGUUAUAUUCUCUUGACGUGUGUUGCAAGUUGCUGGAAUAUUUUACUGACACCCUGUAGCUAAGAUUUUUUUCCAGACUCAAAGAUAACUAGUGGGCUGGCCAGUGGUCUAGGAAAUAAUCAGGCAGGUGAUUUCAGCAUAAUGAGUUAAGUGGAUACAGCCCCUGGCUGAGGGCUAUUCUUAUGUGACACUGGCAGAGUUUCAGAACUACUUAGGUGGGCUUAAGCAUUUAUUUAUUAUCUUUUAUGUUCUAGGCACUAUUGUAGGCAGUGGAAAUGUGGCAAUAGACAAGCUGUGGCUCUGCUUUCCUGGCGGUAACAUUCCAAUACAUAAGAGGGACACUAAAAAGGUAAAUAAAAAAUACACUGAUUUUAGCUGAUCUCAUUUCACAGAGGUCAGCGCACUCUCCCCUCUCUGAGAGUGUUACUAUGCUUAAUAAACUUUUGCUGCUUUGCUGAAAAAAAAAAGUGAAUACAUUGAUUUCAAGGUAACUCACGUUGUUUCAUGAUAUAUAAAAAAUAAAAACAGGUUGUUGUGAUAAGGGAAGUGAUGGAUGGAAAUGCCCCUCCAGGGAACAACUUUUUAGUAAGAUCUAAAUAAUAGGAAGACACGUGAAAAGAAGCCAGUAGGCAGAAAUCAUGAGGAAGCAAAACUAGGCAAUCAGAAACAGAAGAGAGGUAAAAACAGGUGGAGAGAAGACACAGAGAACUCAACUAACCAGAAGGGCUGUUGGGUUUCCAGAACUAUUGCUUGAAUUUUGACUUCUAGGGUCCCUGUUGGCUCCUGAAUAGAUGCAUAAGUAGAUGCAUAUGCUCCAUUUUCCAUCUUUAUUCUGUUAUAAUAUAUUCCUAUCUAUCUAACAUCUAAUGAUCUAUUGAUCUAACUGUCCAUCCAUCCAAUCAUUUUCAUAUUGUGGGACAGUUAGGUUGCUGCCAGUUUUUAGCAACACAAGGAGCAAGACAGCAGUGAACAUUCUUGUACACACUUUAUCAAGUACAUGGUAUGGGAUUUUUGCAUGUACCUGGAAUUGAAACUGCUGGGUGGUAAAGGAUGUCUACCUUUAACUUGAUAAAAACCUGCAAAAUUGUUUUCCAAAGUUUUUACAAAUAAAUUUACUUCUCCACAAGAAAUGUACACUUGGCAUUAUCAGACUUCAAAAUUUUUUCCAAUCUAAUGGUGUGAAAUGG
rnacentral:lncRNA from 1 species